rnacentral:lncRNA from 1 species
UGGUUGUGCGUGGUGGUGGUAGUGCGCGAUGGUUGUAGUGCAAGGGGUGGUAGUGCGCGGUGCUGAUAGUGCACGAUGGUGACAAGGGUGACCUGAUUGAGUGGAGCGAUGACCUUACUAAACGGAAAUGGAGGCAGUCUUGAUUUAUAACUGUAAUGGAGUGGAAGAGAAGAAAAAGGUGGAGUAAAAGAUGGAGAAGUAGGACAAGAACUUUCUUCCUCGCGCAAAUGAGCAAGAACUGUGAGAAAGGGAGACAUAUAACGAAAUUGGCUCACGGACAAAGAGGAAAAAUGAGCAGGAAAACUCUCAUUCAUUUUACUGAUGAAUUUUCGAUCGGUAUUGUAUAUUUCAUUU